UUGACCUCAGCUCAGUCGUGAUUACCCGCUGAAUUUAAGCAUAUAACUAAGCGGAGGAAAAGAAACUAACGAGGACUCCCCCAGUAACGGCGAGUGAACGGGGAAAAGCCCAGCGCUGAAUCCAUUAGUCACUGGCUAUAUGGAAUUGUAGCGUAUAGGUGUAACUAUUCGGUUGUUUCGUUCACCCAAAGUCCCCUUGAGCGGGGCUAUAGUCCAAAGAAGGUGCUAGACCUGUACGGGUGAUGAAGCAAUCGAUGGGUUACUCCUUGGAGUCGGGUUGCCUGAGAUCGCAGCCCAAAGAGGGUGGUAAACCUCAUCUAAGGCUACAUAUGAUCACGAGACCGAUAGCAAACAAGUACCGUGAGGGAAAGUUGCAAAGAACUUUGAAGAGAGAGUUCAAGAGGGCGUGAAACCGCUGAGAAGGAAACGGAUAGAGUUAACGAAAUUCGGCGGCACUCAGCCGGUUGGCUUAGCGGCGUCGCGGUUUCGAGCCUCGAUGAGGGCGAGAACGUGACUAGCUGUUGAGUGCGUGAGACUGGUGUAUUGUCCGUCGGUAUGCGCCGAGAAUUUUGCUGUCGUGCGCUAAUGCUCUUAGAAGAGGACCACACCUUACGGGUGUGGAACCCUGCAUGAGUUGAGGCGUAUCGGUAGUAAAAGCUGUGUGUGCUAUCUCCGCUGUAGUGCAACGGUUGACAUGUGGCUAGUGUGGCUAUUGGGCGGUCGCAUGCGACUUGCUUAUGGUCAUUGCUGGUUCAUGGCAGUGCAGUUGCGCUGAGAUUAGCCUCUCGGUGUGAAAGUUGACCACCUAUCCGACCCGUCUUGAAACACGGACCAAGGAGUCUAGCAUAUGCGCGAGUCAUUGGGUGGUAAACCUAAAGGCGUAAUGAAAGUAAAGGUUGUCUUGAUACGACUGAUAUGGGAUCCGAAUGCUUUCAUGCAUCACGGCGCACCAUAGCCCCGUCCCCGUUGCUUGCAAUAGGGCGGAGGAAGAGCGCAUACGCUGGGACCCGAAAGAUGGUGAACUAUGCCUGAGCAGGAUGAAGCCAGAGGAAACUCUGGUGGAGGUCCGAAGCGGUUCUGACGUGCAAAUCGAUCGUCUGACUUGGGUAUAGGGGCGAAAGACUAAUCGAACCAUCUAGUAGCUGGUUCCCUCUGAAGUUUCCCCCAGGAUAGCUGGUGCUCGUACAAAGCAGUUAUAUUCGGUAAAGCGAAUGAUUAGAGGAAUUGGGGACGAAACGACCUCAACCUAUUCUCAAACUUUCAAUGGGUAUGACGUCUCGCUUGCUUAAUUUGAAGCGUAGACAUUGAAUGUGAGCACCAAGUGGGCCAUUUUUGGUAAGCAGAACUGGCGCUGUGGGAUGAACCAAACGUCGGGUUAAAGUGCCAAACUUCCCGCUCAUGAGACCCCAUGAAAGGCGUUGGUUGAUAUAGACAGCAGGACGGUGGCCAUGGAAGUCGGAAA
rnacentral:rRNA from 1 species